GGAGCGCCGGCGAACAAAGCUUGUGCGGAUGGCGCAGUCGGCAACGGGCAGUGCCGAGGAUGUGGAGGAGGUGCCUGAAGUGCCUCUAGAGAAGACUUCACAACAGGAGGAGUAGCUGCUCCAAUAGCAGCUCUUGCCUGUACCAAUGGCUGUUCCAGAUUACUGGAGGGCAUUCUGACCAAUGCAUUCCUGCACAAGUGUGAAUGCAGGCUGGAGCUCAGUGUGCUUGCGCUGCCUCACAACGAGUCAAACAACUUGAGGAUGAGGCCAGGGAGCUACGAAAG